GAGACACCGCUAUGGAGCAGGACUUGAUUCAGUGGGGCUUUGGUGCACACUGAGUCCGCCCCUUGUGGAUGUGUCACU
rnacentral:pre_miRNA from 1 species